CCCUUAGAUGUUCUGGGCCGCACGCGUGCUACACUGAGUGGAUCAGCGGGUCAGGUUGCGCGAAAGUGUUUCCUAAUCUUGAAAUCCGCUCGUGAUGGGGAUUGACGGUUGCAAUUUUCCGUCAUGAACGAGGAAUACCUUGUAAGCGCGGGUCAUCAUCCCGCGCUGAAUACGUCCCUGCCCUUUGUACACACCGCCCGUCGCUCCUACCGAUUGAGUGGUCCGGUGAGGCUUUGGGAUCUGAGCGGAAAGAGCGUUUCGCUGUUUCUGCUCGGAAAACUCAGUCGGGCCUUAUCAUUUAGAGGAAGGAGAAGUCGUAACA
rnacentral:rRNA from 1 species